rnacentral:rRNA from 1 species
GACGAACGCUGGCGGCGUGCCUAAUACAUGCAAGUCGAGCGAAGUUUUUCUGGUGCUUGCACCGGAAAAACUUAGCGGCGAACGGGUGAGUAACACGUAAAGAACCUGCCUCAUAGACUGGGACAACUAUUGGAAACGAUAGCUAAUACCGGAUAACAGCAUUAACUGCAUGGUUGAUGUUUAAAAGUUGGUUUUGCUAACACUAUGAGAUGGCUUUGCGGUGCAUUAGCUAGUUGGUGGGGUAAAGGCCUACCAAGGCGACGAUGCAUAGCCGACCUGAGAGGGUGAUCGGCCACACUGGGGCUGAGACACGGCCCAGACUCCUACGGGAGGCAGCAGUAGGGAAUCUUCCGCAAUGGGCGAAAGCCUGACGGAGCAACGCCGCGUGAGUGAAGAAGGAUUUCGGUUCGUAAAGCUCUGUUGUUAGGGAAGAAUGAUUGUGUAGUAACGAUACACAGUAGAGACGGUACCUAACCAGAAAGCCACGGCUAACUACGUG